UGAGUUUGAAAUUGAAAUGCGUAAA
rnacentral:miRNA from 1 species